AUAUCAAUAAGCGGAGGAAAAGAAACUAACAAGGAUUCCCCUAGUAACUGCGAGUGAAGCGGGAAAAGCUCAAAUUUAAAAUCUGGCAGUCUUUGGCUGUCCGAGUUGUAGUCUGGAGAAGCGUUUUCCGCGCUGGACCGUGUACAAGUCUCUUGGAACAGAGCGUCAUAGAGGGUGAGAAUCCCGUCUUUGACACGGACUACCAGUGCUUUGUGAUGCGCUCUCAAAGAGUCGAGUUGUUUGGGAAUGCAGCUCAAAAUGGGUGGUAAAUUCCAUCUAAAGCUAAAUAUUGGCGAGAGACCGAUAGCGAACAAGUACCGUGAGGGAAAGAUGAAAAGCACUUUGGAAAGAGAGUUAAACAGUACGUGAAAUUGCUGAAAGGGAAACGCUUGAAGUCAGUCGCGUUUAUUAGUACUCAGCCUGUCUUUUGACCGGUGCAUUUACUAGUGGACGGGCCAGCAUCAGUUUUGGCUGCGGGAUAAAGGCUAGAGGAAUGUGGCACCUUCGGGUGUGUUAUAGCCUCUGGUCAUAUACCGUGGCUGGGACUGAGGAUCUCAGCACGCCUUUAUGGCGGGGGUUUGCCCACCUUCGUGCUUAGGAUGCUGGCAUAAUGGCUUUAAACGA
rnacentral:rRNA from 1 species